rnacentral:rRNA from 1 species
UGACUGAGAUUGAGUUCUCAGCAGCGGGCUCAGGCACUUUGAUAUUAUUUACCCUUUUUUGUAAAUAUGUUACUCAAUUUUGCAGGAUACUAAUCAUGUACACUUGAGUCAACUUACUUAUUCUUUUUGAGCAAAUUAUAGUGUUUCAGGCAGGCGUGCGCCGGAAUACAUUAGCAUGGAAUAAUCUUACGGACCGUGUGUGCUGCUCCGGCAGCAUCUCCUUAUUUGUUGGUUUCUUUAAGGACACGGAAUGAUUAAUAGGGAUAGUUGAGGUUUUAUAUCUCACCAGGGGAGGCAUUAGUAUUUAAUUUCCAGAGGUGAAAUUCUUUGAAAUUUGUAAAGACUAACUUAUGCGAAAGCAUUUUUCUUUUCUUUUACUGCCAAGAAUGUUUUUAUUUUAUUUGUUUAUCGAACAGAACGAAAGUUAGGGGAUCAAAGACGAUCAGAUACCGUCCUAGUCUUAACCAUAAACGUUGCCGACUAGGGAUCGGAGGGCGUGCACAUUCCGCCUUCGGCACCUUACGAGAAAUCAUAAGUAUUUUGGGUUCUGGGGGUAGUAUGGUCGCAAGGCUGAAACUUAAAGGAAUUGACGGAAGGGCACCACCAGGAGUGGAGCUUGCGGCUCAAUUUGACUCAACACGGGAAAUCUUACCAGGUCCAGACAUAGGAAGGAAAUUGAC